CGCCCACCGGGGCGGCUCGAGCAGAAGCCAAAUAUUUGACUGUGCAAAUUGGCGGCCGGAUCGAUUGUGCUGCGGCUGGCGGGGGCUCGUGACAGACGGACACUCCUCCUGCUGCACCCCCUGCUCCUGCACCCCCUUAUGAACCGGAGCAGCCCUACCUGGGGCACCCCUUCCUCAGAGCAUCCCCUUCCUGGGGCACCCCAUUCCUGAAACCUCCCUUUCUUGGAGCUCCAUCCCUGGAGCAUCCCGUCUGUAGUGUCCCCCCUCCACAGCGCACUCCCUCCCUGGGGUAACCCCUUCCCCAGAGCACCCCUUCCCUGCUGUACCCCGGUCCUAGAGCCCCCCUUCCUUCGUGCACCCACCACGGGACCCCCGCUGGGGCAGGGGGUGGGGACAGAUGUCCCCCCACGAGGCUGCAGGGACAGGGUGAUGUCCCCAGGUGGGAACUGGGUGGGCACCUCAAUACCCACAAAGGGGAACAGGCGGGAGGGGGCGAGCGUGGUGUCACUACACGGCACUGGUGUCACCAGUGUCACUGCAUGGCGUCUGUUGUCACAGGUGUCACUGCCACUGCAUGGCCCCCCGGGUGUGGCACAGUGUCAGUGUCACUGCACACCUCCCUGGGGUGUCACACAGUGUCACCGUGGCUGCACAGCCCCACUCGUGUCACACGGAGCUGCUGCGCAGCCCUGCGGUGUUGCACAGCUUCACUGUUGCUCCCUGGAGUGUCACAUGGUGUCACUGUCACCGCGCAGUGCACAGGGUGUCACUGUCACUGUGGGGCCGCCGGGUGCCACGCAGCGUCACUGCAGCUCCCGUGGAUUGUCACACAGAGUCACCGUCAGUGCCUGGUGCUGGCUCUGUCACACAAUGGUAUGUCACUGCGUGGCCCGCGGGGUGUCACCCACUGUCACCGUCACUGCCGGCCCACAGUGUAUCACCCAGCGUCACUGUCACUGCGUGGCCCGCGGGGUGUCACCCACUGUCACCGUCACUGCGCAGCCCGGGGUGCCGCACACCGUCCCCGUGCGGGACACUCCGCAGUGCCACCCCCUGCACACGGCAUCGCUGCCACCCGCUUGUCACAUCGCGCCCCCUCCGUGUCACACCCCACCGGCCGUGGGACACCCCCGCCACAGCCCAGCCGCUCCCGCAGCCCAAAUCCCGGCCACUCCCACCCCAUGUCCCCCUGGGGGGACACGUCCCCGAGCCCUCUCCUCCAGCCACGCGGCCGUCACCUCCCAGCACUCACCGCUGGCGCUAAUUAGCUGCCGGUGUUGUCAGCCCUUAAUUGCCGCUCGCUGGGAGGGUGACGGGCCCCGCCGUGUCCGUAAUGAGCGGCAGCGUGACGGGGACAGGGACGGCGGAUGUGCCACCCACACCUCGGCCUCCCCCUGCCUGCGGCCGGGCUCCCCCCGCUGGGCAAGGGACAGUGCCAGCUGUUGGGCUGGGACACGCUGGCAUGUUGCUGGUCCCGGGGCCAGGGCAGCCGUGGCCAGCUAGGCAGCCCCUGGGACCACCAGCCAGCCGCAAAG
rnacentral:lncRNA from 1 species